rnacentral:lncRNA from 1 species
UCAAGUCAAAUCCGCCUGCCACCGGAGAGAAGAACUGGGCCUGUACUCGCAGGGCGCCGUCUCCGCGGAGAAGACGAAGAGGGUCCCCGAGAUAUCAGAUCUUUCGAGGUUGGUAGCGAGGGAUACGCCUCCCCCCUGUGACCAAUCCAAUUUCAAGCCCACCAGGUGGAACCCUAACCCUAACUCUAACCUCCCGCUGUUCAUCGUCAUCCCACGAUACCCUGAAUCCAAUCCGAACAGAGCCCUCCCUCGCGCAUUGAUGACGACGACAAGCUCCCACCCCCC